rnacentral:rRNA from 1 species
AGUGAACGCUGGCGGUAGGCCUAACACAUGCAAGUCGAACGGCAGCACAGUAAGAGCUUGCUCUUACGGGUGGCGAGUGGCGGACGGGUGAGGAAUACAUCGGAAUCUACUUUUUCGUGGGGGAUAACGUAGGGAAACUUACGCUAAUACCGCAUGCGACCUACGGGUGAAAGCAGGGGAUCUUCGGACCUUGCGCGAUUGAAUGAGCCGAUGUCGGAUUAGCUAGUUGGCGGGGUAAAGGCCCACCAAGGCGACGAUCCGUAGCUGGUCUGAGAGGAUGAUCAGCCACACUGGAAGUGGGACACGGUCCAGACUCCUACGGGAGGCAGCAGUGGGGAAUAUUGGACAAUGGGCGCAAGCCUGAUCCAGCCAUACCGAGUGGGUGAAGAAGGCCUUCGGGUUGUAAAGCCCUUUUGUUGGGAAAGAAAAGCAGCAGGUUAAUACCCCGCUGUUCCGACGGUACCCAAAGAAUAAGCACCGGCUAACUUCGUG